AUAGUAAAGAAAUAUUAUAAACCGUAACAAUCAUUAGUCCCAUGUGGCUGACCUGAUAAUUGAAUUAGUUUUAUGAAUACUAUUUGUUGUUACCGUUGUUGGACAUUGCUAAUAAACCCGUUGGAAACGGCUGUCACUGAAUAUAAAUAAUGUUGAUAGACAUAAGGUAUGAACAGAAAGAGAUAAACGUAUUAAAGUACGUCAUCUGGUAAUAAUAGCCUGUAAAGCCUAUGUCAACAGUGAUUCAGAAGGCCAGCUACUGAUCCACCUGUCUUCACUCAUGCAAUCGAAAUGGGUUCAACUGGAAGUCCAUUACGAUGGAUAUUUCGACUGAUCAACAUAAGAAGGAAGACAGAAGCCAAAAAAUAACUAAAAUGGGCUCAACCUGUAUCCCGUGACGAUGCAACGAGUCACUUUUUCAAAAUGGGCUUAAUUACGUUGUUUUUGCAUCUUUUUGUGCAGUGAGACCAGACUUCUUUGAUUCUUA